ACAGUGUCCUAAGUCUUUAACCAGUAA
rnacentral:sRNA from 1 species